GAAUAUCAAAACAAGAAAGAAAAAGAAAAAGCUUGGGUUGUUCGGCCAUGGUUGAUCUUGAUUAAGGUAUGUAACUAGCCCGGUUUUUGAUAAUUUUUACGUUUUUGAGAUCGUUGCUAAGUUAUCUACAAGACCCAUGCUUGGAUUUUUGAUUUUGGUGAAUAUUUUGAGUUAUGUCAUUGUUGAAAGCUUGUGAUUUUUGUUGUUUGAUGAUGAAAUAUGAAAGAUAUGUUUUGGGUUAACAUGUUUUGUAUUGGAGUUUUUGAUGAUUUUGAGUAAUUAGGACUAAAUUGCAAAAAAAAUAAUUUGAAGGACUAAAAUAUGAAAUAAAUGAAAUAUAUGGACUUGUAUGAACACUAAGAAUAUUCGGCCCAACAUGGGUGUGUUGAAAUUUUGCAUAUUUUGUGUUUUGUGCAAUUUGGACUAAAUUGUAAAAAGUGUAAAAUGUCAGGGUAAAAUGGUAAUUUUCCUAUUUAUGUGUUUUUGGACUAAAUUGAGUGAAAAUAUGUUUGAAUGAGUUUAAUUUGAAUAUGUUUAGAUCAAGAACCAAAGAAAUCAGAUUUUGCUAAAGUUGUCGAUUAGUCGUUUCGUCCCGAUUAUCGUUGUCCGAGGUAAGUUUAUAAGCAAAUAGAUGUUAUUUAUUUGAUUAAAUAUGAAUUAUAUAUGAUGAAAUGUAUAAUGUGAUAAUAUAUAUAUGUGAAAGCCAAAUGUGUAUAAGCUCAGAACCUACGUGUACGAGUUCGAUUCGACCGAGUUACGACGUCUGAAAGCCUUAUGUGAACCUUAGGAAUAAUUAGGACAUAGAAUUCUGAUAUGUGAUGUGCGAGUAAGACCAUGGCAUCGAUAUAUGUGUACGAGUAAGACCCUGUCUGGGACAGUGGCAUCGAUAUGUGAUUAUAUGUAAGACCACGUCUGGGACGUUGGCAUUGUAUGUUACGUGUGACUAUCUGAGUAUCCUAUUCAAUUCCGAAUGGUUCAACGGGCAAUGAUAAGUUGAGAUCGAAUGUGUAAAACGAGCUAAGAUGAUCAGGUAUGAGUUGGUUGAUUAUUUAUUUGAAAAUAAGGUAAGUUGGCUAUUGGCUUGUGAUACAAAUUAUACAAGUUAAUAAUGUAAACAUAUGUGCUCUUGUGUGAUAUAUUCGGCCAUAUGCUAUGAAUAUGUAUGUGAUGUUAUAUUUUGAUUUAUGAAUAUAUAUAUAUGAAUAUAAAUGUACUUGGUUAUAUUAUGAUAUUUUGGCUUUAAAUUUGAAUGUCAUUUUGUAUAUAUGUAUAUGUGUACAUUCGGCCAUGAUAAAUUCUAUAAGUGAAAGUAUAUGUUAUACAAGAAAAUAGUAAGCUUGAAUUUAAAUGUAAUUAUGAUAAUAUAUUUUGGUAUGGUUUAAAUAAGUUGAUUAUGUCUUUAAGCUGUUUAUUUGCUAUGACUUACUAAGCUAUGAUAGCUUAUUGUGUGUGUUCUUGUUUGUCUUUGUUUUAUAGAUUUUGAAGUUUAGUUAUGAGCUUGGGGAUCGUCAGCGGAGUAAAUCACACUAUCGACUGUUUUCGGUACUUAUAAGUUGAAUUUUGAACCCAUGGCAUGUAUAGGCUAGAUUAUUUUUGGAUAUGUUAGAAUUUGGCAUGUAUAUAUAUAUAAGCCAUGCAAAAAUGGCUUGUUCAUUUUGUUAAGUUCGGUUUCAAGGCUUGAUUAUUAUGCUAAUAUUUGGAUGUACUUGAUCAUGGUUUAUGCUCAUUUC
rnacentral:lncRNA from 1 species